AGAGUUUGAUCCUGGCUCAGGAUGAACGCUGGCGGCGUGCCUAAUACAUGCAAGUCGAACGCACUGUGGUUCAACUGAUUUGAAGAGCUUGCUCUGAUAUGACGAUGAACAUUGCAGUGAGUGGCGAACGGGUGAGUAACACGUGGGAAACCUACCUCUUAGCGGGGGAUAACAUCUGGAAACAGAUGCUAAUACCGCAUAACACUAGCAACCGCAUGGUUGCUACUUGAAAGAUGGUUCUGCUAUCACUAAGAGAUGGUCCCGCGGCGCAUUAGUUAGUUGGUGAGGUAAUGGCUCACCAAGACGAUGAUGCGUAGCCGAGUUGAGAGACUGAUCGGCCACAAUGGGACUGAGACACGGCCCAUACUCCUACGGGAGGCAGCAGUAGGGAAUCUUCCACAAUGGACGAAAGUCUGAUGGAGCAACGCCGCGUGUGUGAUGAAGGGUUUCGGCUCGUAAAACACUGUUGUAAGAGAAGAAUAGCAUCAAGAGUAACUGCUUGGUGUGUGACGGUAUCUUACCAGAAAGGAACGGCUAAAUACGUGCCAGCAGCCGCGGUAAUACGUAUGUUCCAAGCGUUAUCCGGAUUUAUUGGGGCGUAAAGCGAGCGCAGACAGUUUUUUUAAGUCCGAAGUGAAAGCUCCACAGCUUAACUUGUGGAAGUGCUUUGGAAACUGGAUGACUUGAGUGCAGUAGAGGAGAGUGGAAUUUCCAUGUUGUAGCGGUGGAAAUGCGUAGAUAAUAUGGGAGGAACACCAGUGGGCGAAGCGGCUCUCUGGACUGUAACUGACGUUGAGGC
rnacentral:rRNA from 1 species